UGCCGGGGCAAUAAAAGCUCUGAGUUUUGUUAGCUCCAGAGUUUUGUUGCCCUGGCUCU
rnacentral:pre_miRNA from 1 species